rnacentral:rRNA from 1 species
UGCCAGCCGCCGCGGUAAUACGGAGGGUGCAAGCAUUAAUCGGAAUUAUUGGGCGUAAAGGGCGCGUAGGCGGAACUGUAAGUCAGAUGUGAAAUACCGGGGCUCAACCCCGGUGCUGCCUUUGAAACUACAGAUCUAGAGGAUAGACGGAGAAAACGGAAUUCCACAUGUAGCGGUGAAAUGCGUGGAUAUGUGGAAGAACACCUGUGGCGAAAGCGGUUUUCUAGUUUAUUCCUGACGCUGAGGCGCGAGAGCAAGGGGAGCGAACAGGAUUAGAUA